GUUUGGGGGCAUCUGAACCAAAGGCUAGAGCUUCAUUAGUUAAAAUACACACUUAGGAAUGUAUUUCCCAUAUAGAUACCAAUGCAUGAAGAUACAUCUUCAUCCGCACUCUGCAUCUUACUUUAAGGGUCCAGUGUCUUUCAGCUCUGUGCAGAUAACUCAUAUAACCUCAGGCACCUCAGCUAGGCCUAGACACCUGUGAUAGCUUCAGUCUAGGCCUUCCUGGAGACCAGCUUGUAACCAGGGAAGUACCCUAUGCUCCCAGUAUUCCAUGCUAUCCUUUAUGUAAUCAGAGGUACAAAUGAGAAAGAAAGAGAAGCCUUCGCUCUCUUCUCUUCCAGUGAGGCUCGGGAACAGUAAGUCGCUGCAUUGGUCUCACUUAUCUGGAAGCUGAGGCCUGCAGCCACUGCUGAUGCCUGCCAUGUGGGAGGUGGAGAGAUUUGACUGUGUCUGGCAACCCUGCUUUCCUUGAGGGAAGUGAGAUUUCCUCCCAGGCUUAUCAGUAAAAUGUGAGGCACACCUCUGGAACAGAAGAGGUUAUAAACGGUGUGACUGCACUGGCAUAGCGAUCCUGUUUGAGAAAAGAGCAAAGAAGGGCUGCAGAGAACAAACCACUGUGAGACUUACACUUAGGAGUUCUUUCCAUGCCUCUGAUUUUAAACAAUGCAUUGCAAAAAUUUUGAAAUAAAGAAAUU